AUGAGAUAUGAGGAUGCUUAUCCACCUAUUCUGUAAUAGAAUGAUGAUUCAAAACAUGCACUACCAUCUGAUCUCAU